ACUCCUACGGGAGGCAGCAGUGGGGGAAUAUUGGACAAUGGGGGCGAACCCUCGAUCCAGCCAUGCCGCGUGAGUGAUGAAGGCCUUAGGGUUGUAAAGCUCUUUCAGCGAGGAGGAUAAUGACGUUACUCGCAGAAGAAGCCCGGCUAACUUCGUGCCAGCAGCCGCGGUAAUACGAAGGGGGCUAGCGUUGUUCGGAAUCACUGGGCGUAAAGCGCACGUAGGCGGAUUGAUAAGUUAGGGGUGAAAUCCCGGGGCUCAACCUCGGAACUGCCUUUGAUACUGUCAGUCUUGAGUCCGAGAGAGGUGAGUGGAACUCCGAGUGUAGAGGUGAAAUUCGUAGAUAUUCGGAAGAACACCAGUGGCGAAGGCGGCUCACUGGCUCGGUACUGACGCUGAGGUGCGAAAGCGUGGGGGAGCAAACAGGAUUAGAUACCCUGGUAGACUGUCA
rnacentral:rRNA from 1 species